AUAAUUCUAAAAAUGUCACCUCCACUCACAGCUGCUCUCCUGUUACAUUUCCUUCACUCUCUACCCAAAUCAUCCCCAUUCAAGAUUGAGGAAGGAUUCAAGGUGUUGCCGCAUCAUCAAAUCAGCUGAAGGCUGUAAAAGAAAAAAGACUGAGGUCCCCAGAGGAAGAGGAAAUUCUGCCUCCAGACUCAAGCUGCAACAUCAGCUCUUUCCUAGGUCUUUAGCCUGCUGACUUGCCCUGAAGAUCUCAGACUUAGACUUGCUAACUUUUUGCAUUGAAUCACAACACAUGAGCCAAUUCAUUAAGUUCCUCAUUAUGGUAUCCCAGAGGGUUUCAUGACAUGGACUUUUGUAAUAUGCCACAUGUGGUGAAGACCAGCAGUUCAACACCAGAAGGAAUCUGACCAGUGCUCACUGCAGCAUCUCCAGAAGUGAUAGGGAUUUGCUUAGGGAAUAAAGAACAUGGACUGCACUCUCCAUAGGACAUGGGUUUUUUCCAUCAGUAGUCUGGAUGAUUACCUAAAAGCAUGACGGUAAAUAACCGAUGCUUUUUCUCACCCACCUCACUCAUUGCAAAACCAGCCAAGAUCUUUCAUCUGUUGAGUGACUUGAGAUUUUGCUGUAAGAGUAAUCAUUUUUGUUUACCAGGAUGGUAAUACUGAAAUUGACCCAAUUGUCUCAUAGAAUGUUCUUUUUGAUAAACGUAGAAAUUGACCCUUCUGAUCUUAAAAAGCUUGAAACAUAUUUGUUUUAUCUGAGUUCCUUCCUCAGGAGACCACCUUCAGGCCUCACAAAAAGUACUGAAGAACUGAAACCAGAUCAUGGUAUCGAUGCUGGACCCCUCUUUCACCAUGACGGCUUCUUUACCUCUCCCAAGUUCCUGUUUUCUUACACAUUGUUACAUUUCUUGCCUGCAAUAUAAACCCCUGAUUUUAUUCAGUCAGGGAGAUGGAUGUGGGACUGAGCUUCUGUCUCCUUGGCUGUGGCACCUGAUUAAAGCCUUCUUCCUUGACAAUACUUGGCGUCUCAGUCAUUGGCUUUCUGUGCAGUAAGCAGCAGGACCUAGACCGAACCCCUGGUGUUUUAGUAGCAAUGCUACUAAAAAAGACAAGAUUGUUUUUUGUUUGCUUUCUGUAAAAAACAACAAAAGCAGAGAUAUAUAGAUGUAUACCCAUUCAAACAUUAUUUUCUGUUGAAAAGUUAAUUCAGACUUCUCAUUGACUAAUUGAAUGAUGACAAUCAUUUAAAAUAUGGCCUAUCAUAUAAUUGUUCAUGGAAAAACAUUAUUAACAGGUUGGCCUAUCUUUUUCAAG
rnacentral:lncRNA from 1 species